AAAAUUUAAAAAGGAAAUAUCGAGGGGAAGAAGAAAGAGAAAACGGCCAUGCCUUUGUUAAUGGCGACGGAGAAACUCUUAAACUCAUCUCCAAAUUUCAGAGAUCUCGCUCUCUCCAACAUAGAUUUCAGGGAGUGAGAAGUUGAGAAGAAGAGAACUUAGGAUGUGUUAUGAAAAAGAGGACAAGCAAUGGAGUUGUGGAAAGGCUGGUUUGAGUUCUAUUAUGCGGGACAUUGGAGAGCCUUGUCUUCAUCAUUCACCUAUAAAGAUGAGCAAAAUGCUUAAACCAGACAAGUGGCAUGCAACUUUUAAUGGUGAAGGAAGGGUUUUUGGUUUUCAGAAAGCACUGAAAUUGAUUAUUUUGGGGGGUGUGGAUCCAUCUAUAAGGGCUGAAGUUUGGGAAUUUCUUCUUGGUUGUUAUGCAGUUGACAGCACCGCAGAGCAUCGGAGGCAACUAAGGACAGCCAGGAGGGAACGGUACAAAGACCUUAUCAAGCAAUGCCAAUUGAUGCAUUCGAGCAUAGGAACUGGGUCCCUUGCCCAUGUGGUGGGAUCCAAAGUCAUGGAUAUAAGAACAUUGUCCAAAGAUGAUAAGAAAUGGGAAGCUGGAGCAAAAAGUCAGCAAGUUUCCAAUGAUAAUACUAACAAAAUAGACAAUUACAGUGAUUGGAAUAAUAAUUGUACAGAUACAUCAUUUGCAUGCCCAAGGGAAAGUUCUAGUGAUUCUGCUGACUUUGUCAGCAUGAGGAGAAGCGCAGAUGGCACAGCACAUAACUCUUCUAGUCUUACACCUAGUUCUGGUCCAUAUGACUGCAAUUCCCCAAAACCAGGGAGUGAAGAGCAUGGAUCACAAUACAUAACUGGAACUUAUACUGAUGUUCCCUCAUUACCCAUCAUAGAUUUAGUUGAGAAGAGUGGAGAAGAAAAAAAUGAACAUGGUGUGUUUGAUGAUAGACUAUCUACACAACAUAAAUUGAGAUUCAAAGAUGAGAAUAUGCACCGUUUUCAAAUUAAUAACAAUGCAGAUUUAAUUCAGAAGUCAAAUGGUUCAGCAUCUAACAAUAUUUCAUAUGCUAUGAACUCUGAGAUUCAAAUGGUCCACUCUGAUGCCCAUGAACCAGUAUUGCAGUCCAAUAAUCUGGGACACAAAAAGGAAAUAAACAGACUCAGAAUAUCUAAUGUACCAGAAACACUGAAGAUAAAUUCAAGUAGAUCUCAAGGAGGGGCUGUGAGUAAGGACAGAGUGUCGGAAUGGCUUUGGACACUGCAUCAAAUAGUUAUUGAUGUGGUAAGAACAGAUAGUCAUCUUGAAUUCUAUGAGGAUCCAAAAAAUUUGGCUAGGAUGUCAGACAUUCUUGCUGUUUAUGCAUGGGUUGAUCCUGCAACAGGAUACUGCCAAGGUAUGAGUGACUUGCUGUCUCCUUUUGUCAUUCUCUUUGAGGAUAAUGCUGAUGCAUUUUGGUGCUUUGAGAUGCUUCUAAGAAGAAUGUGUGAAAAUUUUCAGAUGGAAGGACCAACUGGAGUGAUGAAAAAGUUGCAAGCAUUGAAGCAUAUUUUGGAGCUCACUGACAGGGAAAUGUUUGCACACUUGUCGCGUGUAGGUUCCGAAAACCUUCUUUUUGCCUUCCGGAUGCUGCUGGUUCUCUUUCGCCGGGAGUUGUCUUUCAGUGAUGCCCUUUGUAUGUGGGAGAUGAUGUGGGCUGCUGAUUUUGAUGAAUCUGUGGCUAGCAAUGUGGGAAGCCGUCUGGCACCAUUGGUGGUACAGCUUCCCUGGGAUUCUGGUGCAGAAUCAAAAAGAGAAAGCAUGGAGAAUGGAAAUGGUCACUCCAAGGGUGGCUUACAAUCAAAACAUGGAAACACAGAAGGCUCUGAUGCUGAUGAAGUUGCAAUAAGAUCAGUAUCAGCCUAUCCCCUUUGUGGCUUGACAAAGAAUUUUUGGUCGAAGAAUGAUAACAUGCAGAUUUGUGCUGUAGUCUCUUCGACAAGGAAUGCGAAUGAUGAAUUGCCUGUUUUUUGUGUUGCUGCAAUUCUCAUUAUGAACCGUCACAAAAUCAUCAGAGAAACCCGUUCAGUUGAUGAUCUGAUAAAAAUAUUCAAUGAUAAGGUGCUGAAGAUCAAUGUAAAAAGAUGCAUACAUAUGGCCAUCAAACUUCGGAAAAAAUACUUCUACAAGCUAAAGACCAAGAACCCAGGAGCUCCUCAUGUUGAUUAGAGUUGCUCCGCUUCUGUUUACUUUCUCAACUAAAGCUCAGUCGUGGCUCUGUGAGUUCAUUAUGAUUAAAAUAAGUAGAAGCACUUUGGCCUUUUGAAGAUUCAUACAGUCAUCCAUAGUUCAGUUCUGCUGCAAGCCAGUGGAAAGAUUGGAAUGUGGAAAGAAGUUGCAUUCAGUUGAUCAUGGAACAAUGAUGUAAAUCUCUUGCAGGUUAGCUGAACAUAUUUUUUCUCAUGUGUUAUAUUUGGACAGCCACUUAUGUAUCAACAAUUUUGAAACUUUUUUUUUUUUUUUUGUGUGUGUACAUGGAUUUUAAAGAACUCUUUGAUAUAAAAUGAUUGGAAAGUUAUAAUA